rnacentral:rRNA from 1 species
UACGGAGGGUGCGAGCGUUGUCCGGAAUCACUGGGCGUAAAGGGCUCGUAGGUGGCCAACUAAGUCAGACGUGAAAUCCCUCGGCUUAACCGGGGAACUGCGUCUGAUACUGGAUGGCUUGAGUUCGGGAGAGGGAUGCGGAAUUCCAGGUGUAGCGGUGAAAUGCGUAGAUAUCUGGAGGAACACCGGUGGCGAAGGCGGCAUCCUGGACCGACACUGACGCUGAGGAGCGAAAGCCAGGGGAGCAAACGGG